UCACCAUUCAAAAUUACAUUGAGCAAAAUUACACAAGUUAACCAUUCUUCCAAAUUUUUCCAAGUUAACCAUUCCAACAUUGUACAAAGCAAUCUCAUGGAUCUUAGCCUCAAAAUGUUACCAUUGCACUCAAACCAAUCCAAGAUUAAUUCAACAUGUUAACCAUUCUUCCUAUUUUGCUGCACUCAAACCAACCCAAGAUUAAUUCAAAAUGUGUUUAAUAAUCAGUGCACCCCAUAAAACCAACGGAGCAAACCAUAGCUUCAUCUCUCUUCCUCUUCCACGUCCAACUAGGUCUUCCAGUUCUCUCAUUGUCCUCAAUAGCCAACCCAUCAAAGUUUUCUCAUGUGGAGGCACUCACCAUCAACCCAUUGGAAAAAACUACAGCCAUUGUUUCGCCUCUGUAUAUACCCACACUAUUAUCAUAAGGGUAUGACUUAUAUGAAAAUUCAUUCUUAAAAAAACUACAACUCAUACCUACCUUUGGACAUGAAUGGAACCUCCACAGUGGGUUUGAUUCUGUCCAUGAAGUUUGAAGCCUAGCAAUCUUCCCAUAGUAGCAUUGAGGGGCUGCAACGUUCGCCUCUUCUGCUUAUGGAAGUUUGUGCUUCAUCUUUGACUUUUAGUUCAAAUCAAGCAAAGGCCAAAUUUUAGAGCUUGGUAGACCGUUUAAUUGAACAACUUUGGAGCUUGUUGAUGCAAUUCAAACAAAUGCCCAAUUGUUAGGGUUGUAGACCAUUUUUUAUUGAGAGCUUCGAAAGUUGCAGACUCUUAAAUGGAAGAGAAAGGGGG
rnacentral:lncRNA from 1 species